AAGAACCCUCGUUAGGCGAGGUGUCUGCGUCAGACACAGGCCGCUGCCCCGAAACGUCGAGAGACGCCAAGGGGUAGACCAGGCGGGGCCGGAUUAAGGCUCUGCCCAAAGUGGCUGGGGCUAAAGCCCUACGCUGCGCAGUGCCGAAGCUCAACCAGUGGGGGCGACC
rnacentral:sRNA from 2 species